rnacentral:rRNA from 1 species
AUACAUGCAAGUCGAGCGAACAGAUAAGGAGCUUGCUCCUUUGACGUUAGCGGCGGACGGGUGAGUAACACGUGGGUAACCUACCUAUAAGACUGGGAUAACUUCGGGAAACCGGAGCUAAUACCGGAUAACAUUUGGAACCGCAUGGUUCUAAAGUGAAAGAUGGUUUUGCUAUCACUUAUAGAUGGACCCGCGCCGUAUUAGCUAGUUGGUAAGGUAACGGCUUACCAAGGCGACGAUACGUAGCCGACCUGAGAGGGUGAUCGGCCACACUGGAACUGAGACACGGUCCAGACUCCUACGGGAGGCAGCAGUAGGGAAUCUUCCGCAAUGGGCGAAAGCCUGACGGAGCAACGCCGCGUGAGUGAUGAAGGGUUUCGGCUCGUAAAACUCUGUUAUUAGGGAAGAACAAACGUGUAAGUAACUGUGCAUGUCUUGACGGUACCUA